rnacentral:tRNA from 1 species
GGGGUUGUGGCUCAGUGUUAGAGUGCUUGCCUAGCAUGCAUGAGGCACUAGGUUUGAUCCUCAGCACCA